rnacentral:rRNA from 1 species
GAUGAACGCUGGCGGCGUGCCUAAUACAUGCAAGUCGAGCGAACAGACGAGGAGCUUGCUCCUCUGACGUUAGCGGCGGACGGGUGAGUAACACGUGGAUAACCUACCUAUAAGACUGGGAUAACUUCGGGAAACCGGAGCUAAUACCGGAUAAUAUAUUGAACCGCAUGGUUCAAUAGUGAAAGACGGUUUUGCUGUCACUUAUAGAUGGAUCCGCGCCGCAUUAGCUAGUUGGUAAGGUAACGGCUUACCAAGGCAACGAUGCGUAGCCGACCUGAGAGGGUGAUCGGCCACACUGGAACUGAGACACGGUCCAGACUCCUACGGGAGGCAGCAGUAGGGAAUCUUCCGCAAUGGGCGAAAGCCUGACGGAGCAACGCCGCGUGAGUGAUGAAGGUCUCCGGAUCGUAAAACUCUGUUAUUAGGGAAGAACAAAUGUGUAAGUAACUAUGCACGUCUUGACGGUACCUAAUCAGAAAGCCACAGCUAACUACGUG